rnacentral:tRNA from 11 species
CGCACCAACAGUUCCGAGGUUUGAACUCGGGACAUCUGACUUGGGAAGUGAGCGUGUUACCAUUACCGCACCAGUGC